GACGGAGGAUGCAAGUGUUAUCCGGAAUCACUGGGCGUAAAGCGUCUGUAGGUGGUUCAAUAAGUCAACUGUUAAAUCUUGAGGCUCAACUUCAAAAUCGCAGUCGAAACUAUUGGACUCGAGUAUAGUAGGGGUAAAGGGAAUUUCCAGUGGAGCGGUGAAAUGCGUAGAUAUUGGAAAGACCACCAAUGGCGAAGGCACUCUACUGGGCCAUUACUGACACUGAGAGACGAAAGCUAGGGGAGCAAAUGGG
rnacentral:rRNA from 1 species